rnacentral:rRNA from 1 species
CCUACGGGUGGCAGCAGUGGGGAAUAUUGCACAAUGGGGGGAACCCUGAUGCAGCGACGCCGCGUGAGUGAAGAAGUAUUUCGGUAUGUUAAGCUCUAUCAGCAGGGAAGAAGAUGACGGUACCUGACUAAGAAGCCCCGGCUAACUACGUGCCAGCAGCCGCGGUAAUACGUAGGGUGCAAGCGUGAUACGGAUUUACUGGGGGUAAAGGGAGCGUAGACGGCAGGGCAAGUCUGGAGUGAAUGCCCGGGGCCCAACCCCGGGACUGCUUUGGAAACGGCCAUGCUAGAGUGCUGGAGAGGUAAGCGGAAUUCCUAGUGUAGCGGUGAAAUGCGUAGAUAUUAGGAGGAACACCAGUGGCGAAGGCGGCUUACGGGACAGUAACUGACGUUGAGGCUCGAAAGCGUGGGGAGCAAACAGGAUUAGAUACCCGAGUAGUC